rnacentral:misc_RNA from 1 species
AACCUAGCACACCUGCGGUGUGUACCUGCGGAGGGAUCAUUACAUGAUUUAACAGGGAGUGGAGGCUUCGGCCAAAGCUCUGUCUGAACCCAUGUCUUUUGCGUACUUCUUGUUUCCUCGGUGGGCUUGCCCGCCGAUAGGACAACCUUAAACUCUUUGCAAUUGCAAUCAGCGUCUGAAAAACUAUAAUAGUUACAACUUUUAGCAACGGAUCU